GAGGAGGACCUAUAUCCUGCCUUUGAUGUCAAUAUCUCCCAUGUGACAGCAGUCACUUGGCACUAAUAGAUUACUUAGACCAUAAGAGAGCAGGAAUUUGAGCACAGAGAGAAGAUAACUCAGGAGGAUAUAUGGGUGUUGCUGGUGUAGAAACAAAUGCAGGACGUGGGCCAGAAUGUGCUGUGACACCACUGGGACACCAUGCAGGAGGACACUGCAACGGCUGUGGUGAGGAUAUGUUGAUCCUGCAACCUUCUUCUGCAAUUGUUGCUUUCCUGGAUUCUACUGGUGCUGUUGCCUCAGCACAGGCAUAUCAGAUGGGGCGACUCCAUAUGAACGCAGUAUUCAAGAUGUGGACGUACCAUGGAUUUAUUCAGAGGCAAUAUAAUAAUUUCUGUUUCAUUAUCUAUCCCUUUCUUGAUGAUUCCCAACAUUCUGUUCGCUUUUUCAACUGCCACUGCACAUUGAGUGGAUGAUUUCAGAGAACUAUCCAUAAUGACUCCAGGAUCUCUUUCUUGAGUGGUAACAGCUAAUUUAGACCACAUCAUUGUAUAUGUAUAGUUGGGAUUAUGUUUUCCAGUGUUCAUUACUUUGCAUUUAUCAACAUUAAAUUUAAUAUGCCAUUUUGUUGCCCAGUCA